AGGCAGCUCAUGAAUCACAAGAUUGAAUAAUGAUUUGUGAACAAAAUUGGAGUGACUAAAACAUCAAACUCGCAACCAUACAUUGAUCCACCAAAAUGUUUAGUAGGAAACGAUUUGAAAUCGGCAGAAUUACCUCUUCAAUCAUCAUUUGAAAUGUUCACCAUCCCUACACGCUCAUCUUCUGGCAAAACUGACCAAUUAGGAGAUUGCAGUGCCCUCAACCAUCGAAAAUCAUCCACAUUCCGCCCAAUUCCCAGUCUCCUCAUCAAGAUUUGCCUCUGCCAAAUCCUCCUCCAUUCCUCUGUAACUUAAGCAAUAUGGCGCAAACCUAACGCCAUUACUGUCCUCUAUUAUAGGUCUGCUCCUCACCCGAAGAUACAAGUCACAAUUCUUUGCCUUAUGAAUCCUGAUCUGGUGCGAGGCCAACACGAACAAGCACCCUUCUGCUCCCUCGAUCAAGACCGAACCCAUAACCACCCCAACAUAACCUUGCACUUCACCACAUCAUCCACAACACUGCCCUCAAACAACCCUUCAAUCUGACCUCACAAUCCCUCAAAUUCGAUAGUGUGAACUCCCCAUUUCGAGCAUCCAGCUCGCCUCUCUUGAAUUCCUUCACCAAUACCUCUUUAUCCUUGUUCCUGAACCCGGGAGCAGCGCUCAAAUCCCUAAACCCUACCUCCCCGAAUCCAGCAUUGAUCUUACUACUCUCCGGUUCAGAAACGACUUCAUUCUUCUGAUCUGGCGCUGGGGCGGCACUCUUCUUCGAUGAUUUAUUCUUGAAGGCGAAUUUCUUCUUCGGAGCGACGGCCGCGGAUGCGUCAUCUAGGGUUUGCCUGAGGUACGUGAUGGCGCUGAGGGAAUUACGUACUUCGUAGGGCGGGAGCAAGUAGGAAUUCUCCGCGACCAGCUUCUCGAGGGCGGAGAUUUCGAGGGAGAUCGCCUCCAGGUCGGUUUUUUUAGGCAGGUCCGGCUGUGUUUGGAUCCGGGAGAUUUGGGCUUCGAUUGAGAGCUUUGAUUGCGAGAACUGAGACAGGAACGAUUUUGUGGAUCCGGAUGAGUUAGGCUCAGGCUUUGCGGUGGCGCGGGACUGGUGGCGGUUGGCGAGACGCUCCAGCAUCGCCGCGUGCUUCUGCUCAAGAGCAACGGCGCUGGAAUCAUACGACGAUUGUUUUUUGUCUUCCAUUUCGCCGUGCUGGAAAGUGGUGUUCCGGCUGCAGCUCUUUUAUUUCACUGACCUGAAAUUGAAUUUUUCCAACAAUUCAACUCCAAAUUAAUGUGCCAAUUAUUCUAUUUCUAUAUAUAUUUAUAUACUAGCACUAACAUUUGUAUUUGCUCAAUGCACUAAAACGAGCUUAUAUUUCUUUUUAUAAAUUAGAAAAAAAUUAAAAAAAAAAGAAAUUGGAGAUUUAUACAUGAGGAUUCGUUAUGCUAAAUUUCACAGUCCAUAUAAGACCGACUAAGCAAGUUAUCAAAAUAAUAUAGUACUAGUAUCGCUAUCCCGUGCGAUGCACGGGAAUCGUUAUAGUUAUCUAAAAUAGUAAAAAAAAAAUUAAAAUUAAAUUACAUAAUUAAUUAAUUAAUUAAGAAUGAUUCACUUGUAAGUUGUAAAUUAUAAAAUUUAAGUAGUCAAAUCAUUCACUUGUGUUCAUCAAGCAAGAGCAAGACAAUAUGUUCGAUGCAUCGUAAAAAAUAUCUUUAUACCAUAUUCUAUAAUAAAAUAAAUAAAAUGUUAAAAUAAUAAGAGGAGAAUGAGGCUAAAAUAAUUUCUUUUAAAACUUCUCCACAACGGAGGCCUANUUAAUUAGACUAUUAAUUAGUUAUUAUUUAUGUUAAAGAAUGAAUUGCAUAAUAAUAUUAUUAUGUACAUAUAUGGUGUAAUUACUUAUUAUAUGAUUAAGCAUGAAAUGAUUUGCAUUAAGUAUUUGUGCAAUAAGAGUAUUUAUGUAUUUAAAUUGGUUUUUCAUAAAUCCAAUCAUCAAAGAAAAUCGAACAAGGAUAUUGUUGGUGUCCUUAGCUCAGGAUUUAAAUUUUCAAGUAUUUAUGAUUAAAUUUUGAAAACCCGACUUGGUGAAUCAUAAAAUGUUAAGCACUUCACUAUGACUUAAGAUUACAUUCGAGAGACCUAUUAAGAAUAGAUUUCUUGUAGGCUUUGUGGUUCAGGAGAAUUAGCGUCGCUAUUCCGAUUCAGAGUUAUGAGUAAAACUGCAGGCAUUGCCUAAUCAGGUGGGCUUACUUUCCAAAUGUAUAAAGUAUGAAUGAGUUAUUAAGCUCUAAAUGUUUCAAUGAAAUGCAAAUUGUUUAUUCAAUUAAAUGCAAACUGUUUAUCCGAUAAAAUGUUUAUGUGCACUCUGCUCUGUUUAAGGCUCGCCACAACGAAUCGUUCGAGGUUCUCUUAUGGCCUAACACGUUAUUUGAGAAUUAUGUACACUCGUUAGCUGACCUGGUGGGUUGAUCUCCAUCGGGUACUAACUAAGAGACGUUAUAAGAGUGCUUGUUGGAUGUGUUCCGGAGCAUGUAAUGUAAGGCCUGUCUGGGUAGCGUCCCGAGGUCAAAUGAAACUUGUCUGGGUUACGCCCUUGUCUGGGUCAAAAGUCUUGGGUUCGAAUCCCUUGUGGUGGGGCCUUUAAAUUUCUUUAUUUAAUAUUGUUAAUUUAUCAAAAAAUAAAUGCGAAAUUGGGAAGCACAAAAACCUUGUUCUGCAUAUAGAAAAAGGGAUAACGAAACUGAAGGUUCAAUAAGGCCAGGCAGCUCAUGAAUCACAAGAUUGAAUAAUGAUUUGUGAACAAAAUUGGAGUGACUAAAACAUCAAACUCGCAACCAUACAUUGAUCCACCAAAAUGUUUAGUAGGAAACGAUUUGAAAUCGGCAGAAUUACCUCUUCAAUCAUCAUUUGAAAUGUUCACCAUCCCUACACGCUCAUCUUCUGGCAAAACUGACCAAUUAGGAUAUUGCAGUGCCCUCAACCAUCGAAAAUCAUCCACAUUCGCCCAAUUCCCAGUCUCCUCAUCAAGAUUUGCCUCUGCCAAAUCCUCCUACAUUCCUUUGUAACUUAAGCAAUAUGGUGUAAACCUAACGCUGUUACUGUCCUCGAUUAUAGGUCUGCUCCUCACCCGAAGAUACAAGUCACAAUUCUUUGC
rnacentral:lncRNA from 1 species